GAUGAAGAACGUAGCAAAAUGCGAUAAGUAAUGUGAAUUGCAGAAUUCAGUGAAUCAUCGAAUCUUUGAACGCACAUUGCGCCCGCCAGUAUUCUGGCGGGCAUGCCUGUUCGAGCGUCAUUUCAACCCUCAAGCACAGCUUGGUGUUGGGACUCGCGUUAAUUCGCGUUCCCCAAAUUGAUUGGCGGUCACGUCGAGCUUCCAUAGCGUAGUAGUAAAACCCUCGUUACUGGUAAUCGUCGCGGCCACGCCGUUAAACCCCAACUUCUGAAUGUUGACCUCGGAUCAGGUAGGAAUACCCGCUGAACUUAAGUAUAUCAAUAAGCGGAGGA
rnacentral:misc_RNA from 1 species